AAGGGAAAGAGCAGGAAAGUAAUGAAAGAUGAUUGGUUAAUAUUCUGUGUGCCAUCAAGUGUCACCUUGUGAUUGGUUGUUACCUGUAUAUAAAUAGAAGUGCCUAACUGACCACUGUGUGGCACUUCUGAAGGCAGCUGCUAGUGUUUCAGACAGUGUUCCACCCAGCAACUUCACUUGGUCAAAUAAAUUUCUGUUUGACUUGGAAGCCUCUGCUUGAGUCUCCCGAUUUGCCCUCUUGGAACCUCAAGUUCUUUGGGUAGCUGCUGACCCUUACAAUACUGUAUCAAAGGAAGGGAUAAAUCUGUAAAUUGAAAAGUUACAGCCACCUGCAGAUUUACUAGCUCAUCAAGAACAAGCUGAAUAUCCAAGUGUCUAAUUUCCGCUUUUAGACACAGGAAAAGCCUUGUGAGGUGUUAGGCGGCCUUGUUGAGACGUCACAGAGGGACAACAGCUACCGCAGACAGAUGUGCCUUAUAGGAGAAAGAAGAUAGCAGAGGUCAGCUGGAGCCACAGAGAAUGGCAGGAAGACUGAAAUUGGCAGAGGACAUCCUUAUCUUCCCAGCUUCUGGACAGCAAAAGUGAAAGCUACCACCCACUCCCAAAGCAAGGCUCUUCCUUUCAGAGCUCUGCAUUCUGAUCUGAUUCCAGACAGCAUGAUUUGCAAGGAGACCAUUUGCAGCCCUGAGAAAUGCUUUAAUUCAGCAUCCGAUGCCCUGUGGGAUGGGCUACUGCAGAGACUGUUCUCCAGAAAGAAGAAGGGAAUUGCUCUGCAUCACUCCACCUCAGAAAGCCAGAAGGAAAUGUAGGAUAGCAAGGAGAAAAAAUAGCAGUGCCAAAAAUAACAAUACUCCAAGUUCCCAUUUAAUAUAGGGAAUGACUUAGCUGUGUGGACCUACGUACAAUGAUUAAACUCUGCCUCAUAUUUUUUUUGAGAACGAGACUCUACAAUGGUGAUGAAGAAAACUAACAAUGGUAAAGAAGCAACUUAUCUGUGCCUGAAUUGAAGCAGUUGUUUUGGAAUCAAAGACAUAGUUCAAUAUGUCUUUCUCACUAAUGAUAUCACAAGUGGAGAGAAACCUGCAGCCGUGUUUCAAAGUUUAUGUGGUUCCCAGUUCUUGUUAAGAAACUGAUUUAACUGGGUUGCAGAGGUGAUCUUAUUGUUAACCUCCAAGUCAAACAUAGUACCUAUGUUCUGGAAAACCAUACUCCCCAAAAUCAGAUUGACCUCCCAUAAAGCACUGAAAGCCUGGAUACACUGUAGGACCUGGGGUUCAAGAGGUUGGGUGUCCCAUUGAGUGGUUUCUGUUUAUUCUCCUAAGGUUCAUCCUCGAUGACCUUGUUGUUUUUAAUUUCACUACUUUUUUUUUUGUUUGAAUAUGUUGUUAGCUGCCCUGAGUCUUAUUUGCAAAUUGGGCAGCUGUAUAAUUGAUGACAUCAAUGAUUAAAUAAAUUCCCUGCAGUACGUUUCAAAUUCUGUAGCGGGUGGAUAAAAGAAGGCAAGGAGAAAUCUAUCUCUGAAUAUAUAGCUGAUCUCAGGAAGCUGAUGGAAUAUUGUGCUUUUUGGAAAAGUAUUAGAAAAGAGGCUGACUGAAAGAUUUAUUUCAGAAAAAAGAAAAACAACAGAUUUUCGUUUUGUUUUGCUGCUGUUGGGGAGCGUUAACCUUCCUUAUUUUUCAGCCCUGUUGCUACAGUCAUGCGUGAAAACAGGACUUUUAGCAAGAAGCUGAAGAACAGGCACUUUGGCUAAGCAAUUUGGUCAGGCCCAAAUGAGAUGGAGAAGGCCACUGGCUUACUAUUACCAGGAAGAGAAGGGAGAAAAUCAUAUGAGAAGCUUCACUCUAUAUAAUGGGAGACAUGAGGAGGAGCAGGAGGAAGAGGCCUUUCAAGUGAUAAUCUAGUUUAACAACUAACUUGUAGAUGUGGAUAUAGAUAUAGACAUUUCUGUUAGAAUCACACACUCACACAAAAUCUUAGAGUGGCUUGUUCUGCGUUGGUAUGUUAUCCCAGGAUAUCCCGAGUUGACAAGGAGUAUAUAUCUGUAUUAUGUUUCUAGUCUAGAAAAUGUUCUUUUAAGUCUCAAAUAGUGGAGGAAAAAGUCUUGUCAUUUGAUGUCUCUGGUGAAAGAAGUAACUCAUGAAAUGCUUUUUUGAAAAAUCCUUUUGGUAUUUUUUGCUGCCAUCAUUUAACAUGGCUCCCCUGCUACCUCCGUUACAAUAGUGUAUGAGAAUAUUUAUCAUCAUUAUAAAGCAAUCCACCAGCCAAGACAAAGCAUGAGGAAGUCCCUGUUAUAUUCAACUGAACUCUUGAUAACAACAUAGACAUAUCCAUGUAAUUUUCCUAGCAACAAGAAACUAGAAAGGUUCUAGAUUUGGAUGACUUUGUUAUAAAGAAAUACAAUAAUUAUUAAUCAUACAACCUACCACACAAUACUUCCACAGGAGUUAGUACAUUGAAAAAAAUGAAAUCCUAUAUUUAUGUUCAGAAGCCAGAGCAAUUUCUUAUAUCCUUUGAGACAAAACUGAAAUGCGACUGGACAGAUUGGUCAAGGAAGAUAAUCGUCUUGAUGUAAUCAUCUAAACUGUGUCAGGCAAGUUAUAUUGUACCUUUGAUAAAACAAGAUGGAACCAUUCACGGCUACAUUACACAGGAAUUGCAUCAGUUGGUGGUAUGUUUCCAAAAUCCCAUUUUUGGCCUAUACACAUGUCCAUAUUACCUAGAUGAUCUUACAAGAAGCAGGCUUUUUUUGGGGGGUGCUGGCCCUGCCACUUAUGGAGUUCAGAAAGUGAUAAAGAUCAAAAUACCAGAAUAUAACAUUUGAAAAGAAUUUUAAGAAACAGAUUGUGUCAAAUGUAUUAGAUUGCUCUAAAGAGUUUCUUAAGCAUCUAGAACCCUACACAGAAAACCUUGUGAAGAACAGCCAAGA